UUUUUUCAAAAAAAGGCAGUUGAAAGUACUAAACGUUUCACAAGACUUGAUGAAUGGAUUAAGCUAGAUCAACUUGACCUUGAUUCCGUAGAAUGCGCCUCAGAUGAAAAAAGUUGAAGACAAAGGUAGCCAUUCUUCAAAGUCUUGACCUUUGUUUACUGUAUUUAGUAGAACUGUGUAUUGGUUAUAGGUGAGACUAGCUGGAAGAUGACACCAAACGAGAGACGGAAUAUUGAUGAGUCACAUGUAGAGGUAAGGGGUUAGCUUUAGUGAGCUGUGUGACACGCUAUGCAUGUUCUGAUAUGUGCUUUUACAGGGUCAUCAGUCACGAAGAGCUGGAUGCUGCGAGUUUGCGUGAACAUGAGGAGUUCACAAAAGCGAAGAAUAUAACAACGGAGAUAUGGGUAUUCCGUUUCCACCAGAAUACAAAGACUGUGUGAAACUCUUUUUCUGUUAGUUUUGCCUGUCCUUUUUUCUAAUUAAAAAAAACUGACACCUUUAUUUAAAAAAAAAUGAGUUGUAUCAGCUGUUUGUUCGGGUUGUAUUUCUGAAUUCUGAUAUUGUAUCUUUCUGUUAAAUUUGUAUCCUUUGAGCUUUCACACGUAUAUUUCUGUUUCUUACCCAAAUUUUUUUUUUUGCGGCGGCAUGCAGAGGAAAUGUGAUCUGAAGCAUCCCCUGGGGAUGAAAUCUUUCAAAGCUCGAUCUUGUCAGUGUUUGAGUGAAUGUGAUGAUCGGGGGACGCCACAUGGCUGGAUACUUUUCAAAGGAAAAGCAUUCAGAAGAAGCGUACAACUUGGCUUGUAUCCAUCCGUACCCUUCCUCCAUAUCAAAGGAAAGGCUAUGGGAAAUUCUUAAUAGCUUUAUAUGAGUAUUCUUUCCAUCUAACUCUUGUUCUGCUCUCUCACAUCUCUCCACAAGCUCACUCUUUCUCUUUUUUUUUCCUAAGUUGAUAACAACUUACCCAUUUUGUUGUGUUACAGAGGUUACAGGACUCGGAUUUUCUUAGACAUCCUCAUGAAAAAGCACAAGGGAAACAUAAUCAAAAUGCAGGAGAUGAGUGAUAUGGCAGCGGGGUUAAUUACUCACUGAAAAAAUUUGGGUUUCUCUAGAAUCUCUUGUAGUAGGUAACCUUUGGUUCAAGAAUUUAGAGGUUUUCCUCUAAUGCUAAUAUAGGCUCAAAGUUUCGUGUAUGGUUUGAUCCUUUGCAUUGUAAGUAAUACAUUUUGGUAAAGAUUCUACCUUUUUUGGGAACGAAUAUUAUCUUAAAUUUUAAAACUGAAGCAUAGCAAUAGAACAAACCUCUUUAACUA